AAGACCCGCAUGAAAUAUGAGCAGGGGACAGAAGAGACUUCCUGGGGAGCCCAGGAAACGGGCAGCACAGACAUGCGUGAGUACAAACACCGGCGGAUGCCACGUCUCAGGCGGAGGUCACGCGUCAGACUGGGAUCAACUUCUUCGCGUGAUGGAUGCUGAGAAACGGGAUGCAGGGGACCGUUAAAUGACACAUGGUGCCCUGGUGUCACGGAGACCAAAAAGGACAGAAACCGAACCCGCUAGGUACAAAGUGCUUCAUGUUCAUGACAAAGGAAAUAAAGUUCAAUUGGAAGGAAGGACGGAGGAAGGGAGGGAAGCACGCAUAGAAUACAUAUUUAGGGCUGUUUUAAACUUAGUGGCCAUGAGUACAUUUGAAACACCCUUUACCCACCACUCAGACACGCAUGGCUCGUGGCCCAAGAAGCAGAUAACACACAGGGCAGAAGAUGGAGACACUGUAAAGAUGCGAAUUUGAAAGAACUCCCCACACAGGAUACUCAGCCUGACGCUCUGGAAUUUGCAUAGUUUGACUUGUAUUUAAAAAGCAAUUUCAAGGUCAGCUUCAGUGGAGAAACACUGAGCUAAGAUGGGAAGUAACCCCAUUAAAAGUCUACCAGUGUUUUGCAUAUUUAUUUUUCUUCUUUUGGAGUGAGCAAUGACGACUCAUAAAUCAAAAAAUCAGGGUAAACAAACACCACAGAGGUUACUUCGUACCAAAUGUAUACUCUUUAUUCUAUUUAUACACACUAACAUUUCUAUUACUCGAAUUCAAAGUGUGUAAUACAUGCAUGCAUGCUUUAAAAAUCUGCAUACAUUUGCAUAAGAUGGAAAAAAAUAUAUUAUUGUCCCAAGUCUCAGAAGACCAUGGGCCCAAAUAAAAUGACGACCACCUCAAAUGCAUUUUUGUAUAAUGGGAUGGAAGUAAUGUUUAUUUUUAAAAGCUCCAGGCCUAUUUCUUCCUUUCUUUUUUUUUUAGUAUAAAUAGAUUUACAUUUUCCGGUUAUGUAGAUUCCAUGGUCUGACCAUGAAUAUCCUAUGCGGGUAGAGGCAGCUGAACAGGAUAACCUUGGGUGUUUCCAACACGAUUCAAGGGGCUUCAGCAAAAGCAUGAACAAAAUAUCAAAAUCAGCACCCACGCUGUAAUGCUGAAAAGACCAUCAGGGAAUAGGAAGUGGGGGCGGAGAAAAAGAAAAAUGGAAUUUGGAGACCUGAAGACAGCCACUGAGACAGUUACCCCCCAAAUAGGGAUUUUCACCAAGCAUACUUGGAGGUUCCAAAAAUCUAAAUCCUUUUCUGUUUUAGAAACUUCGUAGUAAUUUGAUAUCUGCUCAUUUGCCAGAUAUAAUGGCUUCCCAGGCCAUUUUAGAAGCCAACUAACAAAAAUUAGCCCUGUUUAUGGCUUGUUUUUAUUUAAAAAAAAAAAAAAUCCCUUACUUUAUCCAUUGGACUAGACUUGAAACAACUUUCAGCUACUUCCAAAGAAAUUAAGUCCCCUCUCCUACGAUAAAGCAGUGAGGUGAUACCCAACAAAGAAUCUAAAGUAUUACAAAUCAAACGUAAUUCACAAAAAGGGAAAUUCUAAAAAAGUUUUUCCAGCAAUUGUAGGAUCAGGCUUCACUGUCUAAAGGAAACACAGUUCAGAGGACAGCAAAUCCACUCUGCAAGUAGGACUCUUUCAAGGCCAGAUCCUGCCUCUGCUUCAUCUUGAAAUUCCAGCACGCAACUGACAUCUGAAGACAAAAGAUGCUCAGGGGCUCUUUGUUGACUGCAACCCACAACUGGCUUGGUUCUGAGUGCCAGGGCAGGGGAUGCCUAGCAUUAAGUUUCAUCUCCAUCUUUCUCAUUUCGACUGUGCCAAACUGGCAUCUCCUGUCCCCCCUGCCUGAAGUCCUGGCUUUCCAGAACCCCCUUUGGCUGCCUCUGGUGACUCAAGCCUCAGAUUCAUUUAGGGCAUUCUGGACCCUUCCCCCCGCCCCCAGUGAAAUCAGCCUAACUCUCAUUCCAAGUCCCCCGGCAUGGCUUUACCCAGUGUAACUGGCCACUGAUUAUUCCUCUCUGACUUGUAUCUUGCUCACUCAUUCACUGGCUGAGUCUGUACAAACAAGGAGCCUUUGUUUGCCUUGAGUUCUGUAGCCCCCAAACUAGUACACAGGAGGUGUUCAAUACAAACCUCUGGAAUGAAUGAAUGUACCCAAAUGCCCAGACAUGACUUGUAAUAUUUGUCUGUAUUUACAGAAUCCUGCUGCUGAUGGUCUCAAAGACUGAGGAGACUCGUGGCCCUAACAGCUGAAUGACCAGUAGAUCAGGCACAUCAAGACAGGUGGUACAAUGAGGUACCACCUCAUACCAGUCAGAAAGGCCAUCAUUAAUAGGUCCACAAUAACAAAUGCUGGGGAGGGUGUGGAGGAAAGGGAACCCUCUUACACUACUGGUAGGAAGGUAAGUUGGUACAAUCCCUCUGGAAAACAGUAUGGAAGUUCCUCAGAAAGCUAAAUGUAGAACUACAAUAUGAUCCAGCAAUCCCACUCCUGGGCAUAGAUCUGGACAAAACUUUCAUUCAAAAAGGUACAUGCACCCCUAUGUUUAUUAUAGCACUAUUCACAAGAGCCAAGACAUGGAAGUAACCUAAAUAUCCAUCGACGGAUGAAUGGAUUAAAAUGUGGUACAUAUACACAAUGGAAUACUACUCGGCCAUAAAAAAGAACAAAAUAACGCCAUCUGCAGCAACAUGGAGAUUCUCUAGUUGAUCUGCAUGCAACUAGAGAUUCUCAUACUAAGUGAAGUAAGUCAGAAGGAACAAGACACGUACCGUAUUAUAUCACUUACACGUGGAAUCUAAAAUAGGGCACAGAUGCACCUAUCUACAGAACAGAAACAGACUGAAAGACAUGGAGAACAACAGACUUGUGGUGGCCGAGGGGGAAGGAAUGGGAUACACAGGGCGUUCAGGGUUAGUAGAUACAAACUGUUACAUUUAGAAUGGAUAAGCAAAGAGGUCCUGCUCCAUAGCACAGGGAACCACAGCCAGUCUCUUGGGACAGACGGUGGUGGAAGCCAAUACAAAAAAAGAGACUGUGUAUACAUACAUGUAUAUAUGACGGGGUCACUUCCCUGCACAGCAGAAAGUGACACAACAUUGUAAAUCAACUAUAAUUAAAAAAAAAAAAAUUAAAAGACAGAUGCUGGGGAUAGGAAAGUGAAUGACGCAGAGGCCUGGCCUCUGAGGGUCCUCCUUCCUCCCACACGGGUCCUCAAUUCUCGGUGUCCAUGGCCUCAGCUGAUGGUUCACGUUUGAAAACACCACCAUCCCUGGGAACAUCCUGGUGACAGACCCUGAUUCUAACCUGGAGGACGAGCACUGAGGACUGUCCAUAUACUAGUGUGAAGAGGCAGAGGGUGGCACGCACUGCUGUGUUCCCCCCCUUUCCCCACUGUGAGUGUCUUCAGCUCACUUCCAGACAUGCGGAAAUCUGCCCUCCUCUCACAAAGGCAGCCCUCUGCCUUUCGUGGGGUCCAGGAAGGGCCUGACACGCAGUGAUGACAUCUCGGGGCCUCAGGAGUUGACAUCACAGGAUCGGAGUGGGAAUCCACGCUCUGAUGCCGGCUGCCCGGCCUUGAGAAGGUCACCAGCCUCUCGGAGGACAAUGAGGGUGACAGAGGACUUCGAGGAUUAAGACACAGAAGGACAGUUCUAUACGACAACGCCUAACUCAGAGCUCGGGGCCUGAAAAAACUCAAGAAACGUAUGUUUAGCACCUCCCUGGAAUUCACGUGGCCAGAGAAAAUACACACACACCCCCCAAAAAGAAGGGGGGACCAUUUUGUUAAUGCGUAAUCCCUACAUCUGUAUCUAAUUAACAUAAUUAAAAACACAGAUGUACGUGUAAAUCAGGGUAAAAAGUUGCUCCUUCUAUUCUGGUAACGUUUUGGUAUAUUUGAAAUGCUUUUAAAAUUAAAAGUCCCCCGCACCCCGCCAAAAAAAAAAAAAAAAAAAAAAAAAUACUCCAUCUGUAUGCUCCUCUUAAUGGAAACUGGAUACACCAGAGUUUUUUAAAAUCUAGGAAUGGGGAUGUGACUGAUGGGAAGGGAUUAUGGAGGGACUGCUUUAAAACCCCU
rnacentral:lncRNA from 1 species